AUCUGUUAUGGUUUUAUUCAGUAAGAGAGACAUCCUGGUUUAGACCCAAUUCAGACCGGGUCCAGUCCUGUUCCAGUCCUGAUCCUGCUUCAGGUCUGGUCCUGGUCCUGGUUCACGUCUGGUCCUGGUUUAGGUCUGGUCCUACUUCAGGUCUGGUCCUGGUUCAGGUCUGGUCCUGGUUCAGGUCUGGUCCUAGUUCAGGUCUGGUCCUGGUCCUGGUUCACGUCUGGUCCUGGUUCAGGUCUGAUCCUAGUUCAGGUCUGGUCCUGGUUCAGGUCUGGUCCUGGUUCACGUCUGGUCCUGGUUCACGUCUGGUCCUGGUUCACGUCUGGUCCUGGUUCACGGGCAGGUCUGGGGGGGCUGUCUGUGGUCUAUGGGGGGG
ensembl:lncRNA